GGGAGUACAUCCUGUCAUUUUAACGUUGGAAAAGUUUGCACUGUUCCUUGUCUUCGAAUCGAUUGAUUUUCUCCAGAUUUUAAUCUCUGUUAAAUAUAAAACGACGUUGGAAAAAUUCGCAGCCCUGUCUUCGAAUCGAUUGUGACUUUUCCAUACAGUAACAUUUUUAAAUUUCUGCUGAAUAUAAAACGAUGAGAAACGAAAGGAUUGUUCAUCGUUGGAUUUCUUUACUAAGAUGAUUGGCUCCAAAUGAGUGCUGUUGCGACUUAUUGAAUUGAUGCUGUCACAAAUCAAACAAUGGGAAGAAAAGAGAGAUGAAAAGCAGACUUGAUAAUUUGUGAGAAGGAGAAGGAGGAGGAAGAAGAGGAGGAGAAAGAGAAAGGGGCUCAGGAAAAGCAAUGGAUCAACUUUGCGAAUCAUGAAAUCACAUAACUGAUAACUCAACUGCUGCGCAUCAAUCGGUCUUUCUUCUUCUUUUGUGAUAUGCGCAGCCACCUCGGCUGCGAUCAAGUCAUUAAUCAAUUAGUAAAGGUGCAAUAAAAUAUAAUGGAGACGGCUUUAUACUGAGAGAUCAGUCGCUUUCUCAUGGCAACAAACGGUGCGUUUCUUCAGAACAUUUCCGGGUUUUACUCUAAACUUGUGUAAAUUUGGGAUACGAUCCGGUAGUAAGAUCGUUGCAAUAUGUGCCUAAUUCUCGUCACGUUUACCGGUCUGUCGAACUUGUCUCGUAAGACUAGCGUCUAGGAAGCCGAUAAGCCGAAUUAACCAUGAUUAACGCACGAGGGAUGUGGGCAAUAGCGCCCCAGAAAGUGGAUUGCCUCACGUCGCGUCUAUCAGCCGCGUGAUUUGCACACUUGAUGUGACACAGACUACUGUGGUUCACAGAGUAUUGUGGUUAUGAAGGCCUCGUCGACGUUAGACACGCGUUAAUGUGACUCGAGAAGCCGGCCAUAUUCGCAACGAUUUCACUGCCGGUCCCGCGUCGCACGUAGCAAAGCGCCACUUCGCGCAAUCCGCACCGUUUCUUGCAUUGGCCAUGGAUAUGCAGCAACCGAGACAUAAAUGAUUCUCGAAACAUUUAGAAGAUUUCUGUAAAGAUAAAUUGAGAUAUGCGAUGAGUGGAAUUUAUUGAAGAAAAAAAAUCAAGAAGAACAAUUGUAGAAGAAGUAUUGUGUUAGGAGUAGAGUCUUGACGCAUUGAGAAAAAGAAAAAAUGAAAAGCUGAAAUAAAAAAAUAAUAAAUAUUAGCGGUCGUACAUUUAGCCAUCUUCAAAGAUCCAAUUUUAAUUUAUCCUUUACACGUCCCUUUAUUAAUUUCCGUUGUGUAGUGGCUCUUCCGUACCGGCUCUCUCAAUAUCUUAUUCCUUUCGAAAAUUUUCAUUAAUUUUUCGUGUGUCAUUUAACAUUUCUGUUACAGCUUUCUCAUGGCAACAAACGGUGCGUUUCUUCAGAACAUUUCCGGGUUUUACUCUAAACUUGUGUAAAUUUGGGAUACGAUCCGGUAGUAAGAUCGUUGCAAUAUGUGCCUAAUUCUCGUCACGUUUACCGGUCUGUCGAACUUGUCUCGUAAGACUAGCGUCUAGGAAGCCGAUAAGCCGAAUUAACCAUGAUUAACGCACGAGGGAUGUGGGCAAUAGCGCCCCAGAAAGUGGAUUGCCUCACGUCGCGUCUAUCAGCCGCGUGAUUUGCACACUUGAUGUGACACAGACUACUGUGGUUCACAGAGUAUUGUGGUUAUGAAGGCCUCGUCGACGUUAGACACGCGUUAAUGUGACUCGAGAAGCCGGCCAUAUUCGCAACGAUUUCACUGCCGGUCCCGCGUCGCACGUAGCAAAGCGCCACUUCGCGCAAUCCGCACCGUUUCUUGCAUUGGCCAUGGAUAUGCAGCAACCGAGACAUAAAUGAUUCUCGAAACAUUUAGAAGAUUUCUGUAAAGAUAAAUUGAGAUAUGCGAUGAGUGGAAUUUAUUGAAGAAAAAAAAUCAAGAAGAACAAUUGUAGAAGAAGUAUUGUGUUAGGAGUAGAGUCUUGACGCAUUGAGAAAAAGAAAAAAUGAAAAGCUGAAAUAAAAAAAUAAUAAAUAUUAGCGGUCGUACAUUUAGCCAUCUUCAAAGAUCCAAUUUUAAUUUAUCCUUUACACGUCCCUUUAUUAAUUUCCGUUGUGUAGUGGCUCUUCCGUACCGGCUCUCUCAAUAUCUUAUUCCUUUCGAAAAUUUUCAUUAAUUUUUCGUGUGUCAUUUAACAUUUCUGUUACAGCUUUCUCAUGGCAACAAACGGUGCGUUUCUUCAGAACAUUUCCGGGUUUUACUCUAAACUUGUGUAAAUUUGGGAUACGAUCCGGUAGUAAGAUCGUUGCAAUAUGUGCCUAAUUCUCGUCACGUUUACCGGUCUGUCGAACUUGUCUCGUAAGACUAGCGUCUAGGAAGCCGAUAAGCCGAAUUAACCAUGAUUAACGCACGAGGGAUGUGGGCAAUAGCGCCCCAGAAAGUGGAUUGCCUCACGUCGCGUCUAUCAGCCGCGUGAUUUGCACACUUGAUGUGACACAGACUACUGUGGUUCACAGAGUAUUGUGGUUAUGAAGGCCUCGUCGACGUUAGACACGCGUUAAUGUGACUCGAGAAGCCGGCCAUAUUCGCAACGAUUUCACUGCCGGUCCCGCGUCGCACGUAGCAAAGCGCCACUUCGCGCAAUCCGCACCGUUUCUUGCAUUGGCCAUGGAUAUGCAGCAACCGAGACAUAAAUGAUUCUCGAAACAUUUAGAAGAUUUCUGUAAAGAUAAAUUGAGAUAUGCGAUGAGUGGAAUUUAUUGAAGAAAAAAAAUCAAGAAGAACAAUUGUAGAAGAAGUAUUGUGUUAGGAGUAGAGUCUUGACGCAUUGAGAAAAAGAAAAAAUGAAAAGCUGAAAUAAAAAAAUAAUAAAUAUUAGCGGUCGUACAUUUAGCCAUCUUCAAAGAUCCAAUUUUAAUUUAUCCUUUACACGUCCCUUUAUUAAUUUCCGUUGUGUAGUGGCUCUUCCGUACCGGCUCUCUCAAUAUCUUAUUCCUUUCGAAAAUUUUCAUUAAUUUUUCGUGUGUCAUUUAACAUUUCUGUUACAGCUUUCUCAUGGCAACAAACGGUGCGUUUCUUCAGAACAUUUCCGGGUUUUACUCUAAACUUGUGUAAAUUUGGGAUACGAUCCGGUAGUAAGAUCGUUGCAAUAUGUGCCUAAUUCUCGUCACGUUUACCGGUCUGUCUCGUAAGACUAUCUGUCGAACUUGUCUCGUAAGACUAGCGUCUAGGAAGCCGAUAAGCCGAAUUAACCAUGAUUAACGCACGAGGGAUGUGGGCAAUAGCGCCCCAGAAAGUGGAUUGCCUCACGUCGCGUCUAUCAGCCGCGUGAUUUGCACACUUGAUGUGACACAGACUACUGUGGUUCACAGAGUAUUGUGGUUAUGAAGGCCUCGUCGACGUUAUACACGCGUUAAUGUGACUCUAGAAGCCGGCCAUAUUCGCAACGAUUUCACUGCCGGUCCCGCGUCGCACGUAGCAAAUCGCCACUUCGCGCAAUCCGCACCGUUUCUUGCAUUUGCCAUGGAUAUGCAGCAAUAUAAAUGAUCCUCGAAUCAUUUAGAAGAUUUCGGUGAAGAGAUAUUGAGAUAUGCGAUGGAAUUUAUUGUAGAAGUAAAAUGAAAGGGAAAGAUUGUAGAAAAAAUAUCAGGAGUAGAGUCCUGACGCAUUGGGAAAAAAUAAAACUAAAUAACGCUGGAAUA